rnacentral:pre_miRNA from 1 species
GUGGACCCGGAGAGUCUGUCUUGGAAGGCGUUGCUUUCAGCUGUUUAUAUGGUUGGAGGAAAGUAUCGCCUUCUAGAAUUGGCUUGUCCAU